CAUUAAGUGACUGAAAAGUAGGUAAUGGUCUCUUAAACCGAUUUAUAAUAACUAACGAUUAUUCUUAAUGA
rnacentral:tRNA from 1 species